GAUGAACGCUGGCGGCGUGCCUAAUACAUGCAAGUCGAGCGAACAGACGAGGAGCUUGCUCCUCUGACGUUAGCGGCGGACGGGUGAGUAACACGUGGAUAACCUACCUAUAAGACUGGGAUAACUUCGGGAAACCGGAGCUAAUACCGGAUAAUAUAUUGAACCGCAUGGUUCAAUAGUGAAAGACGGUUUUGCUGUCACUUAUAGAUGGAUCCUCGCCGCAUUAGCUAGUUGGUAAGGUAACGGCUUACCAAGGCAACGAUGCGUAGCCGACCUGAGAGGGUGAUCGGCCACACUGGAACUGAGACACGGUCCAGACUCCUACGGGAGGCAGCAGUAGGGAAUCUUCCGCAAUGGGCGAAAGCUUGACGGAGCAACGCCGCGUGAGUGAUGAAGGUCUUCGGAUCGUAAAACUCUGUUAUUAGGGAAGAACAAAUGUGUAAGUAACUAUGCACGUCUUGACGGUACCUAAUCAGAAAGCCACGGCUAACUACGUG
rnacentral:rRNA from 1 species